rnacentral:tRNA from 1 species
AGCAGUGCGGCCUAGUGAAUAGAGCACUGGACUGGGACUCAGGAGAGCUGGGUUUUAUUCCCAGCGCCGCUA